GAUAAACGCUAGCGGCAGGCUUAACACAUGCAAGUCGAGGGGCAGCAUAGAUUGUAGCAAUACAAUUGGUGGCGACCGGCGCACGGGUGCGUAACGCGUAUGCAACCUACCCGUCACAGGGGGAUAAUCCGGAGAAAUCUGGUCUAAUACCCCAUAACAUAUGGAUCGGCAUCGGUUCAUGUUGAAAUUUUCGGAGGUGACGGAUGGGCAUGCGUAGCAUUAGCUUGUUGGUGAGGUAACAGCUCACCAAGGCGACGAUGCUUAGGGGGACUGGGAAGUUUUCCCCCCACACUGGUACUGAGACACGGACCAGACUCAUACGGGAGGCAGCAGUGAGGAAUAUUGGUCAAUGGGCGCAAGCCUGAACCAGCCAUGCCGCGUGCAGGAUGACGGCUCUAUGAGUUGUAAACUGCUUUUGUACGAGGGUAAAGUGGGUUACGUGUAACCUUUUGAAAGUAUCGUACGAAUAAGGAUCGGCUAACUCCGUGCCAGCCGCCGCAGUAA
rnacentral:rRNA from 1 species